AUGGGUGUCUUAAAGAUUUAGGGA
rnacentral:siRNA from 1 species